AUUAAGUGGAAUAAGGGCAUUUGGUGGAUGCCUUGGCAUGCACAGGCGAUGAAGGACGUGAUACGCUGCGAUAAGCCGUGGGGAGCUGCGAAUAAGCUUUGAUCCAUGGAUUUCCGAAUGGGGAAACCCACCUUAAAUGCUUGGGAAAUC
rnacentral:rRNA from 1 species